AACGUAGGAGGCGAGCGUUAUCCGGAGUUACUGGGCGUAAAGCGCGUGUAGGUGGCUUGUUACGUCUGCUGUGAAAGCGCCCGGCUUAACCGGGACGAUGCGGUAGAUACGGGCAAGCUUGAGGGUGACAGAGGAGCGUAGAAUUCCGGGUGUAGUGGUGAAAUGCGUAGAGAUCCGGAGGAAUACCAGUGGCGCAAGCGGCGCUCUGGGUCGAGCCUGACACUGAGACGCGAAAGCUAGGGGAGCGAACAGG
rnacentral:rRNA from 1 species